GAUAUAUGGAGCUUGCUUUAUAUAACUUAGCAGCGAACGGGUGAGUAACACGUAGAUAAUCUAUCCUAUACUGGGGGAUAGCCCGAUGAAAGUUGGAUUAAUACCGCAUAUAGCUAUAUAGUUGCAUGAUUAUGUAGUGAAAGAUUUAUUGGUAUAGGAGGAGUCUGCGGCACAUUAGCUAGUAGGUGAGGUAAAGGCUUACCUAGGCGACGAUGUGUAGCCGGUCUGAGAGGAUGAACGGCCACAAUGGAACUGAGACACGGUCCAUACUCCUACGGGAGGCAGCAGUGGGGAAUAUUGCACAAUGGGGGAAACCCUGAUGCAGCAACGCCGCGUGAGUGAAGAAGGUUUUCGGAUUGUAAAGCUCUGUUAGCAGGGAAGAGGAAGGACGGUACCUGCAGAGGAAGCCACGGCUAACUACGUGCCAGCAGCCGCGGUAAUACGUAGGUGGCAAGCGUUGUUCGGAAUAACUGGGCGUAAAGGAUGCGUAGGCGGUUAAACAAGUUAUAUGUUAAAUAUAUAGGCUUAACCUGUAGAAAGCAUAUAAAACUGUUUAACUAGAGUGCAGGAGAGGUAAGUGGAAUUCCUAGUGUAGCGGCGAAAUGCGUAGAGAUUAGGAAGAACACCAGUGGCGAAGGCGACUUACUGGACUGUAACUGACGCUGAGGCAUGAGAGCAUGGGGAGCAAACAGGAUUAGAUACCCUGGUAGUCCAUGCUGUAAACGAUGGGUACUANGUGUGGGUUGUGAAUAACAAUUCGUNCCGUCGCAAACGCAAUAAGUACCCCGCCUG
rnacentral:rRNA from 1 species